rnacentral:lncRNA from 1 species
UUUUUUUUUUUUUUUUUAUGGUUUCCUUUACUGUGCAAAAGCUUGUCAGUUUGAUUAGGUCCCACUGGUUUAUUUUUGCUUUUAUUUCUGUUGCUUUGGGAGACUGACCCGAGAAAACAUUUGUAGGGUUGAUAUCAGAGAAUGUUUUGCCUGUGUUGUCUUCCAGGAGUUUGAUGGUGUCUUGUCUUACGUUUAAGUCUUUAAGCCAUUUUGAGUUUAUUUUUGUGCCUGGUGUGAGGGUGUGUUUCAGUCUUACUGAUUUGCAUGCGGCCGUCCAGUUUUCCCAGCACCACUUGUUGGAGAGAGUCUUUUUCCCAUUUUAUAUUCUUGCCUCCUCUGUCGAAGAUUAAUUGACCACAGAUGUCUGGGUUUAUUUCUGGGUUCUCUGUUCUGUUCCCUUGGUCUGUGUGUUUUGGUACCAGUACCACACCAGACAGACUUUUAAAGAAGUGACGUUAUUGGUCACUGAUCAGGAUGUGCAUCUUUGGUUACCUAGGGAUUUGUUUACGUAGAGAUUUAUGCACUGAAGAGAUAGGAGUUGAGUUUGUACUUUAUGCAUUUAUUUAUAGUUAAUGUGGUGACUGAAAUUUCAGCUAUGUUUUGGGGAGGACUUGUGUUAUUCAGCUAAACUAGUAGCUGAAAUUCUUAAGUAUGGUAAGCAUGAAAAGCAAGGACUGCCUUUAGAUUAGGAAGAAUAGUUUUAGUGUCUGUAUUGUUCAUGAAAUACAUGUUUUGGUGAGGGUUUGAUUUCUCAAGAAAGGAAGGAGUAUGUAUAUGCUUUGUAGAGAAAAGGAUGUGAGGCUUACCUAUAUAACCUCAGUUUUUAUCUUAUACUUAAAAAAUUCUGUGAGCUUACUGUUUUAAUUUUAUUUUUAUUUUUAUUUUUGGUCUUUCUUUUAGGGUUGCACCCGUGGCAUAUGGAGGUUCCCAGGAUAGGGAUCCAAUUGGAGCUCCAGCUGCUGGCCUACACCACAGCCAUAGCAAUGCAGGAUCCAAGCCGUGUCUACGACCUACACCACAGCUCACAGCAAUGCCUGACCCUUAACCCACUGAACAAGGCCAGGGAUCGAACCCGAAUCCUCAUGUAUGCUAGUUGGGUUCGCUAACCUCUGAGCCACGACGAGAAUGCCAAAGAUAGUGUUUCUUCACAGAAAAGAUUUAGUAUCCAGAUUAUUUAUUUUAUAUUGUUUAUAAUUUUAAAAAAUUAUGAAUGGCCUAAAUGUCCAUCAGUUGGUUAGUAAAAUAAAUUAUGUUAACAUGGAAUGCUAUUCACCCUAUGGUACAGUGAAAAAGAUAUGAAAUAAUAUAAUGUGUGAUCUCAUUUUUUUGUUUUUUUUUGCCCUAAACCUGUCCCCCCAGUCAUAUGAUCUGAGCCAUAGUUGCAACCCAAUCCACAGCUAGAACAACACUGGAUCCUUAAUCCACUGUGCUGGGCCAGGAAUCAAACCUGUGUCCCACUGCCUCCAAGAUGCUGUGGAUCCAAUUGUACCGCAGUGGGAACUCCUCAUUUUUGUAAUGAUUAUGUACAUGUAAAGAAAUACAAAUUUGAAAAAUGUAUUGCAAAGCAUUAAGAGAUUAACAGGUUAUCACUGUAUUGUGAGUUUGAAGGUGAUUUUUAUUGUCUCUUUAAAAUGCAAUUAAAAUUGUAUUUUUACAACUAUUUUUCUUAUUACCAAAAAAAAGGGUCAGCAUCAUGUGAUCAUGUGUUAAGCCACCUCAUGAAUGACCUGUGUUUGUUUCUUAUUUAGCUAUAAUAAGGAGUUCCAUUUCUUUUGGUUUUUCAGCAGAAUUAAAGUAAUUUUUCAGGUUAAUAUGUAAAUGCUUUUUGUGUGUUUACCAACCACUUGUUUUAUGAAAAUAUAUUUGUAUUUUAUGAAGCUUUCAACAGCUCUUUUAAUUUAUUUCCUUUGCCUUUUAACAGCUUUUUAAAAGUUUUUUGUGCUGCAGAAAAAUUGAGGCUGUUUGGCAUCACCAUUAAAAGUGUUUUUGUUGACAGUAUCUGAUCAGGUUAAGGCUCUAGGACUUGUUGAUCGAUGUAAUUGAAAAAAAUUUUCUAAAAAAUACAGUACAUUCUCUUCAACAUCAGAGUUUAGAGAAUUGUCUGAUAGAUGUUUCUUUUAUUAGCUUAUGAAGAAUUUAAGACAUUUGGAGUUUAUCCUUAAGGUAAUCUAAAUAAGUUCCUAUUACAGAUUUGAAUAACACUUUGCCAACCCAAUUUAUAUAGAAAAGUUAAAGGUAGAUUAUUUUAUUUUUAAUUUUUUAUUGUUAAAGUGUAGUUGAUUUACAGUGUUGUGCCAAUUACUGCUGUAUAUAUGUGUGUGUGUUCUUUUUCUCAUGUAGGUAGCUUAUUUUAAAAAUGUUAAAGUAGGAGUUUCCAUCGUGGCUCAGUGGAAAUGAAUCUGACUAGCAUCCUGAGCAGAGCCAGGAAUUGAAACCAAGACCUCAUGGAUAUUAGUCAGAUUUGUUACCGGUGAGCCACAGCAGAAACUCCAGGAGCUUAUUAUUCUUAUGUGAUGAAGCAGGGUAACGGAAGAAAGAGUAAUUUGGGGCUGAAAGUAAACAGGAGGUGAUGUUUUAACCAAGUCAAAAGGAGGAUUAGAUAGUCAGGUGGCGUUGUAAAAAGCAGGGUAGUAUCCACAGAGAAGGAGGGAAUAUUGUAAACAAAGACAAGAAUGUCAUCUGAUAACCAAUAGCAUGUCUAUAAAAUUUGUUUAAAAAUUGUAAAAGCAGUACAACAGUUUUACUGCAAGAUUGGAAAAGGGAGAGAAUCCCAUUAAUGAUCCUGUCACCCCACAGCUAGUCAUUUGCUUUUAUGCUUUUUUCGAAUCAGUGUGUUUUAUUGUUUUAAUCAUAACACAAGUAGUUUUGUAUCCUUUAGUUUUUUCUGAGAUGUCUGUUUUUAUUGGUGUCAUACAUGCAUAUAAAGUAUUAAAUAGUUUGUAUAAGUUUUGUUGAAUAACAGACAGUUGCCUUAUCUUCCUUGGUAUUUUCUCCUCUCUGAAGAGACAGUUGUAUAUUCUAGACAUUCUCUUUUGACUUCCUACUUCUGAGCACGCAAAUUUAGCUGUUUUCCCCCUUUCCACCGUAGCCACUUCCCCUUCCCCUCUCCCUGUUACUUUACUCUACCACUAUAGUAAUGUGGUAAUUUUGGUUAGAUAAAUACGUAGUCUUUACUUUAUGACCACGUACAUAAGAUUCACAGCUGAAGUUAUGGUGACCGGUGAUUACUUUUCUAGCACAGUUUCUGUUUUCCCUAGGGCUAAUAAUUGUGGUUUUAUUUGUGUUUGUUUAGUAUUUAACACUAAUUCAACCCUAUACUCACCACUCAAGAUAUCAGAUGUUUCUUCUAAUGUUUUCAUGUAGCCUUCAGACUGGCUUCAAACUAGACAGGUUACUCUUUGAGUCUGGGACAGAGUUAUGAUCCUGGGAACUCCCUUUACCCUUAUCCUGGGGGUUCUCUUUGAUACUAGAGCUUUGUUACUUCUAUCCCACAUCCUCUGCUUUCUGGAUUUUUUCUUGUUUUGGUUUUCUCCAGGAACAUUUUGAGCACGAGUUUAUGUGAGGUAAAUUAUUGAAAUUUCUAAAUCUGGGAGUUUCCUGUUGGCGCAGCAGGUUAAGGAUCUGGUGGUGUGUCAGUGCUUUGGCUUGGGCCACUGCUGUGGUGCAGGUUCAGUCCCUGGCCCAGGAACUUCCAUAUGCUGUGGGUGUGGCCAAAAAGAAAGAGAGAAAGAAAGAAAUUUAUAAGUCUGAAAGUGUCUUAAAUAUGUCCUUAUAUUUGGCUGAAAAUUUGUCUGGGUUAGAAGGCUAAGUUAGAAAUCAUUUUUCUUCAGAAUUUUGAAAAAGUAUUGUUUGAUUUUUAGCCUGUUUUAUUUUUCCCAUUUGUUCUUGAGAUAUCCAGUGCCACUCUAAGUCUUAGACUGUUGUAUUUAUUUCUGCUUAUAGGGUCUUUUUAGAGCCACCCCCGAGGCAUAUGGAGGUUCCCAGGCUAGGGGUUGAAUUGGAGGUACAGCUGCUGGCCUGCACCACAGCCACAGCAGCAUGGGAUCUGAGCUUUGUCUGCAACCUACACCACAGCUCACGGCAGCCCCGGAUCCCUAACUCACUGAUCAAGGCCAGGGAUGGAACCCACAACCUCAUGGUUCCUAGUUGGAUUUGUUUCCACUGCGCCGCAACGGGAGCUCCCUGCUUAUAGGAUCUUUAUCUACGAUGUUAGGAAAUUUCACAGCGAUAUCCUUUAGUAUGGCUCUCUUUUCACCUAUUUACUGCUACAAAAUGGGCUCCUUUAACCUGAAGGCUGAUGUCCUUCAGUUCGGGGAAAUUAAAAAUAUUAUCUCAGAUGAUUUCCUCUCUUAGAUUUUCUUUUUUUGUUGUCUUUUUUAAGGGCCACACCCACAGCAUAUGGAAGUUUCCAAAGUAGAGGUUGAAUUGGAGCCACAGCUGCCGGCCUUUACCACAGCCACAGCAGUGUGGGGUCCAAGCUGAAUCAGCAACCUACGGCUCACAGCAACGACGGAUCCCCGAUACACUGAGCAAGGCCAGAGAUCAAACCCGAAUCCGCAUGGAUACUAGUCGGGUUCGUCACCUCUGAGCCUCAACAGGAACUCCCGAACACCUUUACUUGUGAGCGUCGGCCAUCUAUAUGUCCUUAAGAGCCUUUUUUUUUUCUAUGAAUUUUGUUAUAAUAGCUUGUUCUUUUUUCUCAAUUUUUCAUAUCUUUUCUCUUUGAGGAUAUUUAUGGUAUGUUUUUAAGAAUUUUUCCCCCACUGCAGACUGUUUCCUCAAAAAUUUUUUCCUGUUAUUUUGUUUCUUUUAUAUUAGAGGCAUUUCACAAAUGCCUAAUCAUCUUGUUUCUCUGCUCAUAAUGCUGAUUAGAAGUUCUAUGUUGGAGUUCCCAUCGUGGCGCAGUGGAAACGAUUCUGACUAACAUUCAUGAGGAUGCAGGUUUGAUCCCUGGCUUUGACCCCCCAGCCUGGGAACGUUCAUAUGCCACAGGUGUGGCCCUGAAAAGACAAAAAAAAAAAAAAAAAAAAAAAA